rnacentral:rRNA from 1 species
AACGAACGCUGGCGGCAUGCCUAACACAUGCAAGUCGAACGAGACCUUCGGGUCUAGUGGCGAACGGGUGCUUAACGCGUGGGAACCUGCCCUUAGGUUCGGAAUAACUCCCCGAAAGGGGUGCUAAUACCGGAUAAUGUCUUCGGACCAAAGAUUUAUCGCCUUUGGAUGGGCCCGCGUUGGAUUAGCUAGUUGGUAGGGUAAAAGCCUACCAAGGCGACGAUCCAUAGCUGGUCUGAGAGGAUGAUCAGCCACACUGGGACUGAGACACGGCCCAGACUCCUACGGGAGGCAGCAGUGGGGAAUAUUGGACAAUGGGCGAAAGCCUGAUCCAGCAAUGCCGCGUGAGUGAUGAAGGCCUUAGGGUUGUAAAGCUCUUUUACCCGGGAUGAUAAUGACAGUACCGGGAGAAUAAGCUCCGGCUAACUCCGUG